rnacentral:rRNA from 1 species
GAUGAACGCUGGCGGCGUGCCUAAUACAUGCAAGUCGAGCGAACAGACGAGGAGCUUGCUCCUCUGACGUUAGCGGCGGACGGGUGAGUAACACGUGGAUAACCUACCUAUAAGACUGGGAUAACUUCGGGAAACCGGAGCUAAUACCGGAUAAUAUAUUGAACCGCAUGGUUCAAUAGUUAAAGACGGUUUUGCUGUCACUUAUAGAUGGAUCCGCGCCGCAUUAGCUAGUUGGUAAGGUAACGGCUUACCAAGGCAACGAUGCGUAGCCGACCUGAGAGGGUGAUCAGCCACACUGGAACUGAGACACGGUCCAGACUCCUACGGGAGGCAGCAGUAGGGAAUCUUCCGCAAUGGGCGAAAGCCUGACGCAGCAACGCCGCGUGAGUGAUGAAGGUCUUCGGAUCGUAAAACUCUGUUAUUAGGGAAGAACAAAUGUGUAAGUAACUAUGCACGUCUUGACGGUACCUAAUCAGAAAGCCACGGCUAACUACGUG